UGGGGAAUCUUGGACAAUGGGGGAAACCCUGAUCCAGCCAUGCCGCGUGAGUGAAGAAGGCCCUAGGGUUGUAAAGCUCUUUCAGCAGGGAAGAUAAUGACGGUACCCGCAGAAGAAGCCCCGGCUAACUCCGUGCCAGCAGCCGCGGUAAUACGGAGGGGGCUAGCGUUGUUCGGAAUCACUGGGCGUAAAGCGCGCGUAGGUGGCCCGUUAAGUCGGCUGUGAAAUCCCCUGGCUCAACCAGGGAAGUGCAGUCGAUACUGGCAGGCUCGAGUCCCGGAGAGGGUGGUAGAAUUCCCAGUGUAGAGGUGAAAUUCGUAGAUAUUGGGAGGAAUACCGGUGGCGAAGGCGACCGCCUGGACGGGUACUGACACUGAGGCGCGAAAGCGUGGGGAGCAAACAGGAUUAGAUACCCCGGUAGUCC
rnacentral:rRNA from 1 species